UACGUAGGUGGCAAGCGAUACUCGGAAUCACUAGGCGUAAAGCGCAGGUAGGCGGUUCAGUAAGUCUUUUGUGAAAGCUCCUGGCUCAACUGGGAGAGGUCAAGGGAAACUACUGGACUAGAGUGUGGUAGGGGAUACUGGAAUUCCUGGUGUAGCGGUGAAAUGCGUAGAUAUCGGGAGGAACACCAGUGGCGAAGGCGGCCUUCUGGCCUGCAACUGACGCUGUAGCUCGAAAGCGUGGGGAGCGAACCGG
rnacentral:rRNA from 1 species